rnacentral:lncRNA from 1 species
GCAGAGAUACAAGCAUAUUUCCUAAUAUCAUUUAUCAUGUAUACUUAUGUUUUUUGAGCUUAUUAGGUUAGUUUUAGUUAACAAGCCUGACCCAAACUUGGACCUCUCAUAAAAAACUGAAGACAUGGGACUCAGAAUUGAAUCUAGAUCCUUCAAGAUGGUAAGUAGUUGCUUUAUCAUGCUACUUAUGUGCUCAUUCUUUAAUAUACCUAUUUUUAAUAUUAUAUUAAAAAUUAUGCACAUAAGUUUCUAUAUUAUAGCAUACUAUUUUAUUGCUGUAUAUGGUAUGCUCCAACAUACGUAUGUUUUGACUCACAUAAGAUUUCACAGAAUGAUCCAUUUAUGUAAAUUUGGGAUUGCCUAUAUAUUAAAUUAGAGAUUUAUAUAUUUUUAAUAAUAUACAAUCAUUAUUUUAUAAAACUA